rnacentral:rRNA from 1 species
CGGCCGCAAGGUUGAAACUCAAAGGAAUUGACGGGGGCCCGCACAAGCAGCGGAGCGUGUGGUUUAAUUCGAUGCUACACGAAGAACCUUACCUGGGUUUGACAUAUACGUGGUAGAGAACGGAAACGGGAUCGACCCUUCGGGGAGCGUAUACAGGUGCUGCAUGGCUGUCGUCAGCUCGUGUCGUGAGAUGUCCGGUUAAGUCCGGUAACGAGCGCAACCCCUGCUGUAUGUUACAUGUGUCAUACGGGACUGCCGGUAUCAAGCCGGAGGAAGGUGGGGAUGAUGUCAAGUCAGCAUGGCCUUUAUAUCCAGGGCUACACACACGCUACAAUGGCCAAUACAAUGGGUUUGCAAGAUCGCAAGGUGGAGCCAAUCCUCAAAAUUGGUCUCAGUUCAGAUUGCAGGCUGCAACCCGCCUGCAUGAAGUCGGAGUUGCUAGUAACCGCGCGUCAGCAUUAGUGCGGUGAAUACGUUCCCGGGCCU